AUUGAACGCUGGCGGCAUGCUUUACACAUGCAAGUCGAACGGUAACAGGCCUUCGGGUGCUGACGAGUGGCGAACGGGUGAGUAAUGCAUCGGAACGUACCCAGAGGUGGGGGAUAACGCAGCGAAAGCUGUGCUAAUACCGCAUGUGAUCUGAGGAUGAAAGCGGGGGACCGCGCAGCAAUGUUUGGCCUCGCGCCUUUGGAGCGGCCGAUGUCGGAUUAGCUAGUUGGUGGGGUAAAGGCCUACCAAGGCGACGAUCCGUAGCUGGUCUGAGAGGACGACCAGCCACACUGGGACUGAGACACGGCCCAGACUCCUACGGGAGGCAGCAGUGGGGAAUUUUGGACAAUGGGCGCAAGCCUGAUCCAGCAAUGCCGCGUGCGGGAAGAAGGCCUUCGGGUUGUAAACCGCUUUUGGCAGGAACGAAACGGUGUCCGCUAAUACCGGGCGCUAAUGACGGUACCUGCAGAAUAAGCACCGGCGAACUACGU
rnacentral:rRNA from 1 species